rnacentral:rRNA from 1 species
GGACUGAAGGCUGAAAUUCGCCUUCACGAAGUCGGAAUUGCUAGUAAUGGCAGGUCAGCAUACUGCCGUGAAUACGUUCCCGGGCCUUGUACACACCGCCCGUCACACCAUGAGAGUUAGGAAUACCCGAAGCCUGUGAGCCAACUUUCAAGAGGCAGCAGUCGAAGGUAGAACUAAUGAUUGGGGUGAAGUCGUAACAAGGUACC